rnacentral:rRNA from 1 species
CACCAGACUCCUACGGGAGGCAGCAGUGGGGAAUAUUGGACAAUGGGGGGAACCCUGAUCUAGCGACGCCGCGUGAGUGAAGAAGUAUUUCGGUAUGUAAAGCUCUAUCAGCAGGGAAGAAAGAAAUGACGGUACCUGACUAAGAAGCCCCGGCUAACUACGUGCCAGCAGCCGCGGUAAUACGUAGGGGGCAAGCGUUAUCCGGAUUUAUUGGGUUUAAAGGGUGCGCAGGCGGCGUGUCAAGUCAGCGGUAAAAUGUCGGGGCUCAACCCCGGCCGGCCGUUGAAACUGGCGUGCUCGAGUUGGAGAGAAGUAUGCGGAAUUCGUGGUGUAGCGGUGAAAUGCAUAGAUAUCACGAAGAACCCCGAUUGCGAAGGCAGCAUACCGGCUCCACACUGACGCUGAGGCACGAAAGCGUGGGUAUCGAACAGGAUUAGAUACCCGCGUA